CCUACGGGAGGCAGCAGUGGGGAAUUUUGGACAAUGGGCGCAAGCCUGAUCCAGCAAUGCCGCGUGAGUGAAGAAGGCCUUCGGGUUGUAAAGCUCUUUUGUCAGGGAAGAAACGGUGAAGGCUAAUAUCCUUUGCUAAUGACGGUACCUGAAGAAUAAGCACCGGCUAACUACGUGCCAGCAGCCGCGGUAAUACGUAGGGUGCAAGCGUUAAUCGGAAUUACUGGGCGUAAAGCGUGCGCAGGCGGUUUUGUAAGUUUGUCGUGAAAUCCCCGGGCUCAACCUGGGAAUGGCGAUGAAGACUGCAAGGCUAGAAUCUGGCAGAGGGGGGUAGAAUUCCACGUGUAGCAGUGAAAUGCGUAGAGAUGUGGAGGAACACCGAUGGCGAAGGCAGCCCCCUGGGUCAAGAUUGACGCUCAUGCACGAAAGCGUGGGGAGCAAACAGGAUUAGAUACCCUGGUAGUCCACGCCCUAAACGAUGUCUACUAGUUGUACGGGUUUUAAUUAACGUUGGUAACGCAGCUACGUCGUGAGUAGACCGCCGUCGGGAGGUACGGUCGGUCGAGAAGUUAAACGUUAACUAAGUUAGUUAAGUUAGACGGCGUUGAGAGUUGCCGACGGACGACGACGAGGGAGGAGG
rnacentral:rRNA from 1 species